rnacentral:rRNA from 1 species
UACGAAGGGGGCUAGCGUUGCUCGGAAUUACUGGGCGUAAAGCGCUCGUAGGCGGCUUUCUAAGUCGGGGGUGAAAUCCUGGAGCUCAACUCCAGAACUGCCUUCGAUACUGGAGAGCUCGAGUCCGGGAGAGGUGAGUGGAACUGCGAGUGUAGAGGUGAAAUUCGUAGAUAUUCGCAAGAACACCAGCGGCGAAGGCGGCUCACUGGCCCGGUACUGACGCUGAGGUGCGAAAGCGUGGGGAGCAAACAGG